CAAGCUGUUCUUCCGGAGAGUGCAAGUCUCCCAAGGGUUUUCUGACCUGCUUCUAAGAAAACCACCACUACAACACUACUUUCUAGAGGUAAAAUCAGCCUUCUGGAAUCCCAGGCCCUGAGACCAAAGGGAAAGUCUGGAGACUAGAGUGGAAGAGGAGCAGGUUAAGGAGCACUUAAUAAAAACAAGCCGUGGGGUCUGAUGUGUA